GAAGUCCACUAGGGGCGCCAAAAAAUGGCUGAGAUAAGGAGUAAUCCUUAGUCCCUCAUAACCUGAUCUGGUUAGUACCAGCGUAGGGAAGUGGAGUCGGUGUUGA
rnacentral:ncRNA from 1 species